rnacentral:rRNA from 1 species
UACGUAGGGUGCGAGCGUUUGUCCGGAAUUAUUGGGCGUAAAGAGCUCGUAGGCGGUCUGUCGCGUCUGCUGUGAAAACUCAGGGCUUAACCCUGAGCUUGCAGUGGGUACGGGCAGACUAGAGUGCGGUAGGGGAGACUGGAAUUCCUGGUGUAGCGGUGAAAUGCGCAGAUAUCAGGAGGAACACCGAUUGCGAAGGCAGCUCGCUGGAACGUUACUGACGCUGGAGAACGCGAAAGCGUGGGGAGCAAACAGG